rnacentral:rRNA from 1 species
GACGAACGCUGGCGGCGUGCUUAACACAUGCAAGUCGAACGGAAAGGCCCUGCUUUUGUGGGGUGCUCGAGUGGCGAACGGGUGAGUAACACGUGAGUAACCUGCCCUUGACUUUGGGAUAACUUCAGGAAACUGGGGCUAAUACCGGAUAGGAGCUCCUGCUGCAUGGUGGGGGUUGGAAAGUUUCGGCGGUUGGGGAUGGACUCGCGGCUUAUCAGCUUGUUGGUGGGGUAGUGGCUUACCAAGGCUUUGACGGGUCGCCGGCCUGAGAGGGUGACCGGCCACAUUGGGACUGAGAUACGGACCAGACUCCUACGGGAGGCAGCAGUGGGGAAUAUUGCACAAUGGGCGGAAGCCUGAUGCAGCAACGCCGCGUGCGGGAUGACGGCCUUCGGGUUGUAAACCGCUUUCGCCUGUGACGAAGCGUGAGUGACGGUAAUGGGUAAAGAAGCACCGGCUAACUACGUG